GAAAAUGUCUUGAGAAUCAUAAAACACCUCUCCUAUAGUAGAUUCCAAACACACUUUCAGGAGAUGAUGUUCUGUGGGAGUCCCAGAAAACCAUGACGACAUGCAUUUAGCAGCUUGUGCUACACUAUCAAAUUCCCAUCUUUUCAUGAACUUUGUUUCUAUGGCAAGUGAUGUAUCUGUCUGAAGCUCAUUGAAGUAAUUUAUACCACGCACAUCACUCCACGCAACUUCAAACACAAUGAACCCAUAUAAGGUCCUAUGUAAUUUGCUAUUCAAGAUCAAAGAGUUCCUCAAUUUCUUUACAGGUAAUAAUUCCCUCCUCUUUGACAAUGUUACAGCAUCAAGAAACGGAAACCAUCUUCUGACGUUUUCUGAUUCACUCGUGCUUAAUUCUGGAUUAGAUUUUAUAUCCAUUAUAUCUCCAUUCUCUUUCCUCUGCUUCCUCCCUCUGGUAUUUGCAAAGGGAGAUAACCUGGACUUGGUAAC
rnacentral:misc_RNA from 1 species